rnacentral:rRNA from 1 species
UACGUAGGGUGCGAGCGUUGUCCGGAAUUACUGGGCGUAAAGAGCUCGUAGGUGGUUUGUCGCGUUGUUCGUGAAAACUCACAGCUCAACUGUGGGCGUGCGGGCGAUACGGGCAGACUGGAGUACUGCAGGGGAGACUGGAAUUCCUGGUGUAGCGGUGGAAUGCGCAGAUAUCAGGAGGAACACCGGGUGGCGAAGGCGGGGUCUCUGGGCAGUAACUGACGCUGGAGGAGCGGAAAGCGUGGGGAGCAAACAGG